ACUCCUACGGGAGGCAGCAGUGGGGAAUAUUGCACAAUGGGCGCAAGCCUGAUGCAGCCAUGCCGCGUGUGUGAAGAAGGCCUUCGGGUUGUAAAGCACUUUCAGUCGUGAGGAAGGUAGUGUAGUUAAUAGCUGCAUUAUUUGACGUUAGCGACAGAAGAAGCACCGGCUAACUCCGUGCCAGCAGCCGCGGUAAUACGGAGGAUCCAAGCGUUAUCCGGAAUCAUUGGGUUUAAAGGGUCCGUAGGUGGAUGAUUAAGUCAGAGGUGAAAUCCUGCAGCUCAACUGUAGAAUUGCCUUUGAUACUGGUUGUCUUGAAUUAUUGUGAAGUAGUUAGAAUAUGUGGUGUAGCGGUGAAAUGCAUAGAUAUCACAUAGAAUACCGAUUGCGAAGGCAGAUUACUAACAAUACAUUGACACUGAUGGACGAAAGCGUGGGGAGCGACAGGAUUAGAUACCCUCGUAGGCUCUG
rnacentral:rRNA from 1 species